GUCUUUUUGAUUAUAAUUUAAAGUCUAACCUGCCCACUGAAUUUUUUGAAGGGCCGCGGUAUUUUGACUGUGCAAAGGUAGCAUAAUCAUUAGUCUUUUAAUUGGAGGCUUGUAUGAAUGGUUGGAUGAGGUAUUAACUGUCUCAAUUUAAUAAAUAAUAGAAUUUUAUUUUUAAGUUAAAAAGCUUAAAUUUGAUUAAAAGACGAGAAGACCCUAUAGAUCUUUAUAAUUUAUUUUAUAAUAAUUUUUUAGGUUAAAUUUAUUUUUAUAUAAUUAAUUAUUUUAUUGGGGUGAUAAAAAAAUUUAUAAAACUUUUUUUGUGUAUUAACAAUGAUAUUUGAUUAAUUGAUCCAUUUUUUGUGAUUAUAAGAUUAAGUUACCUUAGGGAUAACAGCGUAAUUUUUUUGGAGAGUUCUUAUCGAUAAAAAAGAUUGCGACCUCGAUGUUGAAUUAAAGGUUAAUUUUAGGUGUAGAAGUUUAAAAUUUUGGUCUGUUCGACCAUUAAAUC
rnacentral:rRNA from 1 species